rnacentral:tRNA from 2 species
GCCUGGCAGGCUCAGUUGGUACAGCAUGAGACUUGUGAUCUUGGGGUCGUGAGUUCAAGCCUCACGCUAGGUG